GACGAACGCUGGCGGCGUGCUUAACACAUGCAAGUGGAGCGACGAACCAGGGCUUGCCCUGGGGCAGAGCCGCGAACGGGUGAGUAACACGUGGGUAACGUACCCCGAUGACUGGGACAACCCGGGGAAACCCGGGCUAAUACCGGAUGUCCACCCUCACAUCAGUGAGGUGUGUAAAGGAAGCUUCGGCCUCCGCGUUGGGAUCGGCCCGCGGCGCAUUAGCUUGUUGGUGAGGUAACGGCUCACCAAGGCCGCGAUGCGUAGCUGGUCUGAGAGGACGAUCAGCCACACUGGGACUGAGACACGGCCCAGACUCCUACGGGAGGCAGCAGUGGGGAAUCUUGCGCAAUGCGCGAAAGCGUGACGCAGCAACGCCGCGUGGGGGAAGAAGGCCU
rnacentral:rRNA from 1 species